UCUUCCUUUUUCCUUCCAUUUUUCCCAGCAUCGUGAUCUUUUCCAAGCUUUCCUGUCUUCUCAUUAUGUGGCCAAAAUACUUCAACUUGGCUUCUAAUAUCCUUCCCUCCAGUGAGCAGCCGGGCAUUAUUUCUUGGAGGAUGGACUAGUUGGAUCUUCUUGCGGUCCAAGGCACUCUCAGGAUUUUCCUCCAACACCACAGUUCAAAAGCGUCUAUCUUCCUGAGCUCAGACUUCCUUAUGGUUCAGCUCUCGCGUCCAUAGGUUACUACGGGGAAUACCAUUGCUUUAACUAUGUGGAACUUCGUUGCCAGUGUGAUGACUCUUCACAGUUUUAUUGAGGUUGGUUAUUGCUCUCCUCCCAAGAGCACAAAACUUGGAAAUAAAAUUUCGGGACACGAAAAACUGUUACCAUCUGAUGAUGUGGACUAUUACUAACAAAAGUCGAAAAUAAACACUGAAGAGAAAAAGAGGGUAGUUCAUCAAGGAUUCUACAUUCUACAUUGAUGAGAACUGCCAAUAUUUGUUAAUCUAGUUUAGCAUCCUCCAUUAUAAUACAACAUUAAUCCAUUUUUUUUCAACAGACAGGUUUUAAAUGUAGUAGGAACUUUAAGUAAUAUUAUCUGCAUAAUCUUGCAUAUAUAAAUUCAAGUAGGCUUAAUGAAAUCAACCAAGGAUAUACAUUUGUAAAUGUUUAAUCAUCAUUCCUUAACUGAAAACAGUAUUGGACAAAUUUGAAAGAAAAAUAAUGGGUCUCAAGCGCUUACUAGUGUACUUAAAAAUAUAUUGAUUUCAAUAUGACAGCUAUUUAACUAAUUCUAGACUGGACUUGAUGGGUUUAAAUGGCAAAUAAAUCUGUUUGGAAAUUUACAAACAAUUUCAUUCAACUACUUACCUGCAAGCAGAUUAAAGUUAUCUGGCUUUAACUAUGAAUAUAUUACACUUUAUUGCAAAUAUAGCUUGCCAGUUUAACUGGAAAGUCUAAAUAUUACACAAAGGACAACUCUCACAGUCCUCUUUUAAACAGGACUUCCUUUACAAAAACAAAUAUCAAAGUAACUGUAGACUGCCUUCUUCAAAAAUAGAAAUGCUAGGGUCUGAUUCACACUUUAGCUCCAUACACAGAAAUUGUUUUCCAAUACACAAAAGACUUGAAUGUAUACAGAAUAGUGAUAAACGAGUUACUUUUGUUCAUAAAGAAAGUUUUUCCACAAAGUGGAGGCAUAAUUCUGCAUCAACCACUUGUAAAAUAUAUAUGGAGCCAAUUUUAGAAGUAGACAUUAAAUGGAACAUGAAGUGCAAACUCUACUGAAAACAAUGAGUCACAUCUGAACAAACAUGAAGAGGGUACUUUCUCAAAAAUCACUGUUACAUAUUAACUUACACUACAUGUAUUAUUUCUAGAAUCUUUAUUCUAUGUGUUUCAGCACAAAUAGCUAUUCAAAAGAAAAGUGGAUUGGACAAAAAUCUGAAAGCAUAUGAUUAAGUCUUGCUAAUGAAAUUAUGCAGGUUUAGCCCUAAAAUGCUAUCUGGAUGGAAGGUUACCCAAAUGUUACUUAUGAGCUGCUCUGUCCUUUUUAGAAGUAUAAUAAAUAAUAAAUAACUUGUUGCAGAACAAUAAAGAUUUUUCAAGA